rnacentral:rRNA from 1 species
GACGAACGCUGGCGGCGUGCCUAAUACAUGCAAGUCGAACGCAGUGGGGCCGGGUGAGUAACAAGUCGGUAACCUCCCAUCAGAGGGGAUAACACUUGGAAACAGGUGCUAAACCGAUACUGAUGGAUGGACCCGCGGUGCAUUAGCUAGUUGGUGGGGUAACGGCUCACCAAGGCAACGAUGCAUAGCGGACCUGUGAGGGUGAUCGGCGACACUGGGACUGGGACAGGGCCCAGUCUCCUAGGGGAUGCAGCAUUAGGGAAUCUUCGGGAAUGGACGAAAGUCUGACCGGUCAACGCCGCGUGAGUGAAGAGGGUUUUCGUAUCCAGAAACUCUAUUGUUAGAGAAGCAGUACCGAACCAGAAAGCCACGGCUAACGACGUGCCAGCAGCCGCGGUAAUAC